UCUCCUGCACUGGCAGGCAGAUUCUUUGCCACUGAGCCACUAGGGAAGCCCUGGACGACUCAUGGGAAGAAUUAUGGUCUUACAUCCAAACACAAUGUACUAUUUUGAAGCACUUUAAAAUUUCAUCUAAAAAUGAUUUUGUUAGCUCACUGACUGGUAUUUUUCAAAAAAUUAUGUUCUUUGAACACUAUUUAACAGAAGAGGAAAAUAAAAGACCCCAUCUGCUAGAUCCUCAUGUUCGAGACUAUUCUGAUAUGGACUUUCUUUUCCUGGAUGGAGGUGGGCAGGACAUCAAUAGCUCCGGUAAAGCACCACUUGCUUUCUUGGACCUCUAUUUUCAGUUAAUUAGUUUACUUUGGGACAAUUGUAAAAUGAGUUUCAAAGUUUUCCCUUCUUGCAGAGGCCUCCUCUGAACAAUUGUCCUUCUGAGCAUUUGUACAAGAAGUGAGCAAUAUAUGAGGAUGUUUGACAAGUGAGUGAUUACUCUUCAUUGAUUUACUUCUUCCUCUGCAUCCAAUUGGAGGGAUGAGGGUUCAGUGACGUUUGGCUCCAUUAUGUCAGUCUAACUUAGAAGUUUAGCCAUGCAUGCGUGCUCAGUUGUUCAGUCAUGUCGGACUCUGCGACCCCAUGGACUGCAGCCUGCCAGGCUCCUCUGUCCAUGGAAUUUUCCAGGCAAGAAAUAGUAAAACUCAAAACAUUUGCAAGCCAUUUUGAAUAGUUUAAAACUAAUUGCUGAUUCAUGAUAAUUUUGAGCCAGAAUGUAUUCUGCAUCCUCAAUCUUAUAAAGCUAGCAUGGAUUUUUUUUUUUUUCAAAGGGAAGAAAAAAAUAAAAAGUUUCUGUGAAAGAAAAGCCUUAUUACACAGGCUAAUAUCAGUUUGACCCUUUGAUCCCAACGAACGUAAGA